UACGAAGGGGGCUAGCGUUGCUCGGAAUCACUGGGCGUAAAGGGUGCGUAGGCGGUUCGUUAAGUCUGUCGUGAAAUCCCCGGGCUCAACCUGGGAAUGGCGAUGGAUACUGGCGAGCUAGAGUGUGUCAGAGGAUGGUGGAAUUCCCGGUGUAGCGGUGAAAUGCGUAGAGAUCGGGAGGAACAUCAGUGGCGAAGGCGGCCAUCUGGGACAACACUGACGCUGAAGCACGAAAGCGUGGGGAGCGAACAGG
rnacentral:rRNA from 1 species